AUUCCAGCUCCAAGAGCGUAUAUUAAAGUUGUUGCAGUUAAAAAGCUCGUAGUUGGAUUUCUGGUCUAAUGCGCCUGGCCCGCUGCCGUUAGGUAUGUGAGUGCCGGUGCGCGUUUACCAUCCUUCCAGAGAACACUUCUACCAUUUAUUUGGACGGAUGUUGUCUUCUGGAUCUUUUACUUUGAAAAAAUUAGAGUGUUUAAAGCAGGCCUUUGCUGUGAAUACAUUAGCAUGGAAUAAUAAGAUAGGACUCUGGUUCUAUUUUGUUGGUUGGAGGCCAAGGUAAUGAUUAAUAGGGAUAGUUGGGGGUAUUCAUAUUUAAUUGUCAGAGGUGAAAUUCUUGGAUUUAUGAAAGAUGAACUUAUGCGAAAGCAUUUACCAAGGAUGUUUUCAUCA
rnacentral:rRNA from 1 species